ACAUGACACUGUAAAUGAGGUAAAAUAGUAAAAAUAAAAUUAAGUUUAAAAAAUGAAAAAGGACGUGAAGUGAAGAGGAAAGGAAGCAAGCAAGCCUGGGCUAAUGUCACUCUUCCAGGAGUGAGUGCAAAGCACAGGUGGACCGGUUCCCUGCUGCCAGGUUUAAGAAAUUUGCCACAGAAGAUGAGGCCUGGGCCUUUGUCAGGAGCUCUUCCAGUCCGGACGGUUCAAAAGGGCAGGAGAGUGCGCAUGUGCAAAAGUUACAGGUGAAGACCAGCAAGCGG
rnacentral:lncRNA from 1 species